UACGUAGGGGGCAAGCGUUGUCCGGAAUUAUUGGGCGUAAAGAGCUCGUAGGCGGUUUGCCACGUCUGCUGUGAAAGCCCGGGGCUUAACUCCGGGUGUGCAGUGGGUACGGGCAGACUGGAGUGCAGCAGGGGAGACUGGAAUUCCUGGUGUAGCGGUGAAAUGCGUAGAUAUCAGGAGGAACACCGAUGGCGAAGGCAGGUCUCUGGGCUGUUACUGACGCUGAGGAGCGAAAGCGUGGGGAGCAAACAGG
rnacentral:misc_RNA from 1 species